UCCGUUGGAUCGCUAGUGAUGUUGAUGACCAUUUUUAAUAAAGGGAAGCGGAAGAAAAUUAUAUUUAAGUUGUUUGACUCGAGAAAGAAAUAAUCGGAUUUGACCUAAAAAGAUAAAACCAAACAGAUUUAAAAAAACAAGAAAAACAGUAAAAAAAUAACUAAAAUAAAAAAUUUAAGAACAAAGAAUAAAAAUAAUAAAUAAAUGAAUAAAAACUAAAAAUGGGAGAUGAAUCGAAUAAACCAAUGGAUAUGAUAGAUGGAUGAAUAAGUGUCCAAUUGAACCCUUUCAGAUAUAAACCCCA
rnacentral:lncRNA from 1 species